rnacentral:rRNA from 1 species
UAUGUGAUCGUCUCUCGCAUAUCAAUAAGCGGAGGAAAAGAAACUAACAAGGAUUCCCCUAGUAACGGCGAGUGAAGCGGGAAGAGCUCAAAUUUGAAAUCUUAAAGGGUUUCCCUUUACGAAUUGUAGUUUAAAGAAGUGUUUUCUGUUGAGGUUUUGGUAAAAGUUCUUUGGAAUAGGACAUCAUAGAGGGUGAGAAUCCCGUAUUUGACCUUUACUUUCAACUUUGUGAUACACUUUCAAAGAGUCGGAUUGUUUGGGAAUGCAGUCCAAAAUGGGUGGUAAAUUUCAUCUAAAGCUAAAUAUUGGCGAGAGGCCGAUAGCGAACAAGUACCGUGAGGGAAAGAUGAAAAGAACUUUGAAAAGAGAGUUAAACAGUGACGUGAAAUUGUCAAAAGGGAAGCGUUUGACACCAGUGUUGUUUUUCUGAAAAUCAAUUAAAGAACUGUUUAUGCUAAGUUGUUUAGACUUUAUCAGCUAACUGUUUAGUUUUGAGCUUUUCUUUAAUGCACUUUUCAGUUAACAAGUCAACAUCAAUUUCUUUUGCUGUAAAAAAGCUUGAGGAAGGUGGCUUGAGAUUCGUCUUAAGUGUUUAUAGCCUCUUGCCUAUGCAGUCGGAGAGAUUGAGGUCUGCAGCGUAGAUCCUUCGGGGCUAAAUGCAUUUGUGCUAAGUUAUAACAUUUUAUAGACAACUUGUUGACUAUGAUUUGUCUUGUAGCUUACUCAGCUUAUGUUAUUUUACCUACGCUUAGGAUGUUGAAGUCAUCGUAUCGCGC